rnacentral:lncRNA from 1 species
UAAAUACCCUUUCUGGUUUCUACCUACAGCUCCACAAGAUUACCUCCAACAGAGAGGAUCUAGAGGCUUUUCCAUCCAAAAAAAUAUGCCAGUGACCUCAAAGACCUUGAUCUUGAAUCUGACAUGCUUUCCCACACAUCACAGCCCAGGUUGAAAUUGGAAUUUGAGAUCUGAAAGUUUCACCUUUGAAAUAACCGAUGAAACAAAACCCUUCACUGGCAGUGGUGUGCUAUCCACAGUGAAUAGCAUUUUUGAUCCUCUUGGCUUUCUCACCCCAGUAACAGUUCAGCAGUAGCUAAGGCGAUCCUCAGAGAUCACAUCAACAAGAAUGGUGAUUGGGACAUGCCACUUACCAAUGAGAUGGAACAGAUGGCAGCUUUCACUUGGAAGUGUCCAUAGCCGGGACACAGAGAUGGCAGCUUGCAUUCCCCAUGGAUUUCAUCGGCUUGUGAAGGAACCUGCCAAAAGUCGUGGGGCCCCAAUUGUUGAAGAGCAAAAGCUACAUUUCCCACGCCAGGCUCAUGCCACACAUUUAACGAAGCACGGUUGCCCAGCGUGGGGCUUGUCAAAGAAAUUCUGUUUCCUUUUCUGGAACCAAUCAGCCACGGGAGAGCCCCACAAAGCGCUCAGACUUUUCACAACAUCAUUAGCCGAUGGGAGACCUCCGUACAACUGGAUGUCUCCCUGAUUGGUUUGCGUUGCUUCCUUUUAUCUGUAAGCGUGUGUAUAUGUAUGUGUGUAUAUAUAUAUAUAUAUAUAUAUAUAUAUAUAUAUAUAUAUAUAUAUAUAUAUAUAUAUAUAUAUAUAUAUAUAUUAUAUAUAUGUAUGUAUGUAUGUAUGUGUUAUCAUGAGGUUUGGCAACAUCUUUGAAACUCCCCUUGCAUCUGACGCAUUAAGAUAAGAUACUUUAUUGUCACUCUAUACAACAUAAUGAAAUUCCCUAUGGCAGCCCUCUGAAGAACCGCAGCACAAAGAACACUUUAUAAGACUAUCCAAAUAAGUAAAUAAAUAAGAAUUGCACUGAAGAGCUUUGGAGUCU